CCCUUAGAUGUCCGGGGCUGCACGCGCGCUACACUGAAGGAAUCAGCGUGCUAAAACCAUUGUCGAAAGGCAUUGGUAAGCCCAUUAAAAUCCUACGUGAUUGGGAUCGGGAAUUGCAAUUAUUUCCCUUGAACGAGGAAUUCCCAGUAAGUGUGGGUCAUAAGCUCGCGUUGAUUACGUCCCUGCCCUUUGUACACACCGCCCGUCGCUGCCCGGGACUGAGCCGUUUCGAGAAAAGCGGGGACUGCUGCUGUCGGGGCUUUCGGGCCUUGGCUUCGGUGGAAACCGCUUUAAUCGCAGUGGCUUGAACCGGGCAAAANUCGUANCA
rnacentral:rRNA from 1 species